rnacentral:lncRNA from 1 species
AAAAAAGAAAAUAAAAUAACCGUCUAAAUAUCGCUAAGACUGGAUCAGCUGCAGCCACUGUAUUCUGCAUCUCUCUUGUUGAAUAGCUUAAUACCAGACUUGGAAAUGGGCUGAUGGUAUCUCCCUCUUAAUUGCAUCCGAGUCUUUUCAGUUUGGGGAAGGAAUUUUCCUUUUCUUACAUGAUUUAGGUAAGCAUUCAGAAUCCUUUAUCCAGGCCUAGCUUUUUCUAUCAACACCCAACCCCCUCAUUUUUAAAUUUUUUUCCCCUUUUUUUUUAAUAACAGAUCUUAACAGUGCUGGAAAAGUACUUGAUAUGGUCCCAAUACACAACACACAUUCUCAUCUCUGGUUCUGAUUUAGGAAACACAUCUGAGUUAGUAAGUUUUUGCAACGUUAGGUUGAAAAACAUCUGCUUGUCUUGGAGACCAGUUGAAUAUCUGGCACUUCUUUAAGCUACCUGGCUUUCCAGCUUCACAGCUUGCCAGUGUAUUUUUCAUGAUGUUCACUUUUUAAUUAUCCCCAGUGUUUAUGGUUGUUUUUGGAAGUCUGAAGCAGGAACAUUUCAUUGCACUGGGAGCUGUUUCAAGGUGGGGGUAGGUGGUAGAGGGAUUGGGAUUAGGUAUCCCUAUGCUCCUUAUGUGCAGGAAAGUAUGGGAUCAUAAAGGAACACGAGCAGAGCCCUUAGAGCUGGAUUCCUUGUGGUUCAGAUAAUGUAAUGUUUCUGCACACCUCUGGAAUGCCAUCACUCCCACUGAGGGAAUCAGCACCACACACAGGGGAUGUGUCCCUGGGCUGUCUGCCUUCCAGCAGACUUUCUGGGUUUAUCCUCUGCUCCCCCACCCCAGCCACCAUCUGUGGGUCAGCAAAUAAAGAAUCGAGCUGUGUCUGGUGUGUGCGGGGUCAGGGAGAGGCUCUGGCGUGGGGCCCAGACGUCCCAACUGCGUGGGGCCCCUGCUGUGGACCUCCUGCUUGCCGUGAGAAAUCCAAUGUGCCUGUGGAGCAAGGGCUCAGACAGCUGGCUCUGAGGGGAAGGAGGAGUGGAGAGUCCCAUAAAUAGAGUGGUCUGGUCCUGGUGCAUCUGCAUUUCCAGAAGAAGUGGGGAGAGGAGGUGUUUUCAGCCUAACACCUCGCUCAGUAAGACUGGACUAAAUGGAGUCCUCCCAGGGACUCUGCCUCAUUUAUUCCAGAAAUCUUCCAGAUCCGACCAAGUCCUGUAGGAACUGGGGACAAGAGAUGAGCUUCCAUUCCUCAGGACUGGGUUUGGCCUUCCACAGCACAGCCCCUGCUUGCAGAGAGCCUGUAGGUCCCAGCCCUCUGCAGCUUUCCCAGUCCUGGGGCUUCAGCAGGAAUCUGUCCAUCCCUUACAAGUGUUCUGCUUUUCUCAUGGCUUGGGGUUCAUGCUGGAUAAGCACCGAAAACAGAUUCUCCACAACAGUCCUGUGCCUUCAGUAAUCCCAAAUGUGUUGGCUCAGGCACUCCUCAGGUAGCUGCCAACCCUGAGGGACCUGCACCCCUUCCUGUCACAAAGGCAGCAAAGGCUUUGAUGAGCAGUGGUGGCCACUUGGCAGGUGACUCACCACACUGGGCAUGGCUUUCCCCAGGCUUGUGGUUCUUCUUACAAGAGGAACAAGGACAUUUUUGUGGAAGCAGAAACAGCUAAAUACAUUUUUAAUAGCUAACUUCAAAGCAUGUCCCUCUGGAGUAGCCAACAAAAAUAAAUGUGACUGAGCUGCUAAUACAAAAAACUGAACAUUUCUCAGUUUAACAUUACAGGUGGAGAACAGUGGUGAGAAACAAUUGAUGCUGGAGCAUAUCCAGAGAAGGGCAAUGGAAUGGAUGAAAAGACUGGACUAGAGCAGAAGUCUUGAGAGAAGUGGCUGAGGGGGCUGGGAGCCUCAACCUGGAGAAAAGGAGGCUUAGGGGAGACCUUAUCACCCUCUACAACUCCCUGAAAGCAGGGUGGAGCCAGGUGGGGUUGCUCUCUUCUCCCAAUGAACAUGCAAUAGGAUGUGAGAAAAUGGCCUCAAAUUGCACCAGGAGAGCUUUGGUUUGGAUAUUAGGAGAAAAUUCUUCACUGAAAGGAUGUUCAGGCAUUGGAAUAAGCAUCCCAGGGAAGUGAUGGAGUGACCAUCCCUGGAAGUGUUCAAAAAAAAAGUGGCACUUGGGGACUUGAUUUAGUGGUGAACAAGGUGAUGCUUGAGUUAAAAGUUGGACUUGAUCUUAGAGGUCUUUUCCAACCUUAACUAUUCUAUGAUUCUAUGAGUUGCUUUGGGGUUUGAAAAUUCUCACAGUUCUGGAAUGAGGGAAGAUAAAAACCAGAGGGAUCUAUUUAAAAGGGAUACUAGAAAGUGCUUUUUUACACAGCACGGAAUUUGUUUCUGCUGGAAAUAGAUGGAUGUAACAUCAGCAAGUUCAGAGGGAAAGAGAAGGUAGGGAUGGAUGUGCUCUACCAAUGAUUGUGGAUGCUAGGAAGAGUGUGAGGUGACUGGACUGCAAACAGUGGCCAGGCUUGUGUGCUCCUCCUCAGGACUGUCUUUUCCUGGAGCUGCUGAAGCACAAUUAGCUGGGGGAGAUGCACCAUCCUGCUGGCCCAGCAGACCAUUUCCUGUGCUCCUCUGCUCUUGAAGUAACUAAUGAGAGUUGUCUUUGCAAUUGAAUUUUCCUCACUCUAAUAUUUAUUAGUCUUUUGCCCUCCCAACUUCUGCUGAAGUUGAAUUUUGCAUUGCUUUGCCAAGAAGGUCACUUUCCAUGCUUGGCUGAUGGUGACAUGCAUUUAUCCAGACUAUGGACACAUGGUUCUGGUCACUCUUGUCCUCUGGCACAAUAAAUCCAUCCACUCUUUCAGGCAGGCACUCUAAAUCCUCAGUUAUGGUGAACAUCAGCCUCUGUACCACAAAUAUGGUUAUGGACACAAUCCAUGUGUAUUCCUCAUGACUUCAGUCCAUAAAUGAAUCUACCUUGGGAGUCACUGUUGGGCAGCAGUUUUGCACCCUGCAGUUGCUUAUAAACUACAGGAAAAGCUGCUGACCUACAAACCAAAUGAACCAUCCUAGAACCUGAGUGCCUCCACUGCUCUUUGCCUUGGGAAUUUGCUGUCCUUGGAGAGUUUUUCUCUUCAUCUGACUGUGUCUCCACUUGUGCCUUGGUUUGGAGCAACAGAGCAGUCUGGAAGUGUGUCUCAUGGUCAUCUCCACUUGACCAGUGCUGGCUGGGGCAGCAGAGCAGUUUUGGAGCACACUGGUAGAACACUGACCCAGGGGCAGGGCAGAUGUGCUUCCCCCUGAGCAGGGAACUGGGGAUAUGACCCAGUGAUGGGUGCCUGGAAUAGCUUCCAGUCAAAAAUGGGCAAGCUUAGUCCAAAUGACAUUGGGGACCAGUCUAAGUCUAGGCUGAAGUAAACACUUGAACUUUGUACAUUGUUCUCCUGGGGACCUCAGUUUGGACCUGCUCCUUUCAUUCCUUUCAUGCUGUGUGACUUGUUGAUGUAAACAGCCUCUCUCUCAGUUAAUGGCCUUUGUUUCCAUGCUGUAUUCCUUUAAGAUCAAUAAAGUGUAUUAACAUUAACAACUUGAUUUCACUGGGCCAAGCUCUGAAAAUCUGGAUUUUGUUUGUUUUAAAGGAGUUGUAAGUCCUGGGAACGAAGAUUUCCUUGACAAUAAAGAAAAUCCAUAUGACUUGGACUCUGACCUCGUGAUGGGGUUCAUGCCAUCAGGCUUUGGAAGUAAAUUGUUUUAUACCCCCUUUAAAGGGUCAAGUCUUCUGUGGUCAAGGGGCAGGAAGCUGGAAAAUUUGCAACCUGUUGAAAAAUGUGUUCCCUGUGUCUCCUUAUGAGCUUCAUGCCCUCAGAAACGAGAUUUUCACAAAGAGGGGAGGUAUGAGGUACAGGUAGGAGAAGGACCUAAUCAAUCUCAAUCUCUGAAGUGCUCAUGCAGUAAGUGUUUAAGCAUGUGAUUAAGCCCCAUUCUUACUCAGCGAAGCAUUUCAGCACACGCUUUGGGGUGAAUUAAGCAUGUGCUCAGGAAUGCUGGAUCAAGGUCACCAAGCCUUCCAAGAGUCCCAUGCCUGUUUGUACAAACUGUCCCAAUGACUUUUUUUGGCUCAUGUUGGAAGGAACUCCCUGCUCUUCCUUAAAAUCCAGACUGAAAAUUCAGUUUCACCCAUGGUGAAACUGGAUUCAAAUUGUUAGUUUGAAUUUGGGAGAAGCAGUGCCUUGAGUCCUUGAUUUAAGCAGUAAUAGCAAGGAGAGCUCUUAAUGGAAGAAAUUAAUUUUGUUGUAUUUGAGGACACAGAGCUAAAACCACUUGAAUUCUAUGAAUAAAUGUGCUUUGUGCUCUGUAUCAGUAGCAGGACCUUUUGUAAACCCUGGGAAUGGCACUUGGGAAGUGACAGAAUGACCCUUUCUAUAUCUGUUCCCUUCUCUUCCCCUGGAUGCCCAGGGAGAGAUGGGAAAAUGAGGCAAGCACAAACACCAAAUGUGGAGGGUCUGGAGCCCCACUCAUUCAUCUGCCUGGCUAAUCCAACUGUAAUCCCAGUUUCAGGCAGUGAGAUUAGCAAAACAGCAGGAUCUUUGGGCUAGAGAGCAGAACGAGAAAGCAGAGAGGGUAACUUUGUCUGGCUUCAAAGGAAAGAUGCAGUUUAACUGAGCAAGCAGCAGAGGCAAGGGAAUGGUUAGAAGUUUGCCUUCUCUUCCCAGACACAUUAUUUACAGUGGUUUGGUUUUCUUUUGGAAGGGCCCUCUGUAAAAGGAGACGUUCCCAGCGUUUCUGAGGGUUAGACUUGUAUCACAUUACAGUUUUCUUUCCUGGACUCUUGACUGACACGAUUUCCUGGAGUUGCUCUUCUCUCAGGAAGGUGAACUCAGGAAGGAGUAGGUGUUUGCUAAAAAUCCAGAGUCUUGGAAAGCAGAAUCAUGGUGAUGGUCUCCUCCUUCUAGACCUAAGGUCAGUCCUCAGUGCUGCAUCAUUCUCUGUAUCUCCCAGUGCAGGGCAAGGGCUGGGAAAGGAGUGGGAGAGGAAAUCCAUCAGGUUUGAUAAGAGAGAGGUUUGUAAAUCCUGUUGGAGCAGCUUGCAGAGGCCAUGGCAGGAGCCACAGGAGCUGUGCCAGGUGAAUGGCCAUCCCACCUGGUGGGCAGUGAGGUCAAGGGCAGUGCUGGCCACUGACCUGGAUUUCCUGAUCCCUGCCUUUGCUUAAGCCACCUUCCUGCCUCCAGGCUACAGCAGACAGCAUGUUCAUCCUGGUGUUUCCUUUACUGCUUUUUUUCUUCCUUGUGAAAUAAAUUGUGGCUUGGCAUUAAAGCCCUGAGUGCUGAAUGAAAGUGAAGUUCUGGCUUGUUUCUCCUGUCAAACACCUCGUGAGAGUGUUUUCCUUGAUGUUCAGUUGCUUGGAAGGAAGAGAUGCGAUCUUUUUCUCAUCUGCAACAUAUCCAUGUUUUUUUACAGGUGUCUUCUGAGUGGUUUGUAUGGGACAACAAACACAUCACUGUCUUCAACACUGUGGGACCCCCUGCAGCAACCCUAUAGCUGCACAAUCCACAGCUACCCCAAAGUAUUUUUCUCUGACAGGAAUAUUGGGAUUGAGAGGUUUGGAUCUGACUGAUCCCGCCUGAAGCCCAUCAGGGCUUAGGGUGAAGAUGCUCAUGCACGGAGAGGAGGAAGCACACUCAGAAGUGUUUAUUAUUGCUGUUAAAUGACAAGCUCCCUUUCCUUCCCCUCCCCUUCCCUGUCAUGGAGAUAGGGAUCUCUGCUGUGGUUCCUGCUGCUUUCUUUUUCCUGUGUUGAUCACAGAGAGACUUGCUGCCUUUGAAGGAUGGUCUCAGCCCUGAGAGAGGCUUUUAUUGCUGAGCCACUGACAUUUGAUUCAGAGCAUGUGUCUUCCCCUGGGCCCUUUGCAGAUGCCCACUGUCACCCUGGGUAGGUUUCUUGG